rnacentral:rRNA from 1 species
GGGAUUCGACUAAGCCAUGCAAGUCAGAGGGUCUCGCAAGAGACACAGGCAAAUUGCUCAGUAACACGUCAAUAAUCUGCCCUUAGGUCUGGGAAAACCUCGGGAAACUGAGGCUAAACCCGGAUAGGUGAAAGAUACUGGAAUGUUCUUUCGCCCAAAGUUUACGCCUAAGGAUGAGUUGGCGGCUGAUUAGGCUGUUGGCAGUGUAAAGGACUACCAAACCUAAGAUCAGUAGGGGCCUUGAGAGAGGGAGCCCCGAGAAGGGCACUGAGACACGUGCCCUAGCCCUACGGGGUGCAGCAGGCGCGGAAACUCUACAAUGUACGCAAGUACGAUAGGGGGAUCCCGAGUGCUUAUGCCUUAGGCAUAGGCUUUUGCUAAGUGUAAAAAGCUUGGCGAAUAAGUGGUGGGUAAGACUGGUGCCAGCCGCCGCGGUAACCCCAGCGCCACAAGUGGCAAUCACGUUUAUUGGGCCUAAAGCGUUCGUAGCCGGUUUAGUAAGUCUUGAGUGAAAUCGUUCUACUCAAUAGAACGGCGUGCUUGGGAGACUGCUAGACUCGAGACCGGAGAAGGGUUGGAGGUAUGCCGGGGGGAGCGGUAAAAUGUUAUAAUCCCCGGUGGACCACCUGUGGCGAAGGCGUCCAACUAGAACGGGUCUGACGGUGAGGGACGAAAGCUAGGGGAGCAAACCGGAUUAGAUACCCGAGUAGUCCUAGCCGUAAACGCUGCGAGCUAGAUGUUGCGCAUUCUAUAUGAAUGCGCGGUGUCGGAGAGAAGUCGUUAAGCUCGCCGCCUGGGUAGUACGGUCGCAAGGCUGAAACUUAAAGGAAUUGGCGGGGGAGCACCACAAGGGGUGCGGCGUGCGGUCUAAUCCAAUUCAACGCGGAGAAUCUCACCAGGAGCGACGGCAGGAUGAAGGUCAGUCUAAAGGGCUUACCUGACGAGCCGAGAGGUAGUGCAUGGCCGUCGUCAGCUCGUACCGUGAGGUGUCCAGUUAAGUCUGGCAACGAGCGAGACCUAUACCCAUAAUUGCUAACAGGUUCAUCAGAAUGACUGAGCACAUUAUGGGGACUGCCUUGGAAACAAGGAGGAAGGUGUAGGCAACGGUAGGUCUGUACGCUCCGAAUCUUCUGGGCUACACGCGCGCAACAAUGGUGGAAAAAAUGGGAUGCAACUCCGAAAGGAGAAGCCAAUCCUCGAAAUUCCAUCUUAGUUCAGAUUGAGGGCUGUAAUUCGCCCUCAUGACGUCGGAAUCCCUAGUAAUCGUGGUUCAUAACAUCACGGUGAAUAUGUCCCUGCUCCUUGCACACACCGCCCGUCAACUCAACCGA